UACAGGGGGGGGGCAAGCGUUGUUCGGAAUUACUGGGCGUAAAGGGCGCGUAGGCGGUUUGCUAAGUUGGAUGUGAAAACUCUGGGCUUAACCCAGAGCCUGCAUCCAAAACUGGCAAACUUGAGUACUGGAGGGGAAAGCGGAAUUCCUGGUGUAGCGGUGAAAUGCGUAGAUAUCAGGAGGAACACCGGUGGCGAAGGCGGCUUUCUGGACAGUAACUGACGCUGAGGCGCGAAAGCUAGGGGAGCAAACAGG
rnacentral:rRNA from 1 species